AGUGUUUCUUGUAUACCCUAUCUUAUAAAUAAGACAAUUUAGACAACAACAUUUCCAGAGGAAAUUUGAGAAGCAGACUAGUUCACAGUCCUUAAUACAAAAUGAUUUCGAAAAGAGAAAAUAAUGUACCGUUCUUCUGAGCGAAACGAUAAGAAAGCGAAUGUCACGAAUUCCGGAAACAAUCACGUCGGAUCCUGGAUUUCUCUCCGGAAUAUCGCAGGACGGGACGAGGUGGAACAUAAAAUUCAAGUCCAACAAAAUGUUAGAAAAAAGACCAGCGAUUAUCAAGAAAAAAAGAAUACCUACGGAGAAAUUUUUUGGUUAUUGCCGAUCUCGGCUAGAUCGAAAAAUAUUACGGAAUGACGCCGAGCAACGAAUUGCACGGGGAACGAGAACGACAAUUUCGAGCUUACGUACGCUAAAAUAAACUCUAAAUUCUCAACAAAUGUAAUAUUUACAUUAAAUAGGCGACGAAAGUUCCUUACACGGCAAAGUCUAUCAGAGACUGCGAUUGCUUGAUAGUGGCGCCUCUCGGUGAUAGACUUUCAACACAAACCGUAGAAAUUGAGGUUAUGAUUUAUUUUAAUUCUACGAUUGUUUAUGAUAAUCAUUAAAUGAAUCUCUCUCUGAAA